rnacentral:rRNA from 1 species
CCCUUAGACGUUCUGGGCCGCGCGCGCGCUACACUGACCAGUGCAACAAGCAUCCGUCCUUGGCCGACAGGCUCGGGCAAUCUUUGAACGCUGGUCGUGAUGGGGAUAGACUUUUGCAAUUUUUGGUCUUCAACGAGGAAUUCCUAGUAAACGCAAGUCAUCAACUUGCAUUGAUUACGUCCCUGCCCUUUGUACACACCGCCCGUCGCACCUACCGAUUGAAUGGUCCGGUGAAGCCUCCGGAUUGGCGCGCACCUCGGUGCCGCCGAGAAGUUGGCUAAACCUUACCAUUUAGAGGAAGGUGAANUCGUAACA